UCAACUGUCAUUUAUUUUAUUAGCAUGUCAAAAACUGUGUGUAACAAAUGCAAUGGAAAAUUCAACAACAAAAACAUAUUGAUAUAAACAAACAGCGUUUAUCUUUAGUGCAGCAAACUGCGGAAAAUAAUGCUGAUUAGUUUUAUACAAAGAGGGAAUCAGUGCAAUUAGGAUUCAGGGGGUUAAGUUUCUCUUUUUUUCUUACAGUUUCGUUUAUUUUUUAAUGACUGAAUCCUCUUUUUCUAUGACUACAGGUCGGAUGUAAUUCCCCUCAGCUCCGGUAGAAGGCGCACAUGAUUAAGCAUUCAUGUUUGUGAGAAGGAGAUGCAGCUCAGAGCAGCGUUUGGGCCAAACAGAGAUCCAGCAGCAGGAGAGAAAACUCCUAGCAGAAGGACUUAACUGAUCACAUAUUAUAAAACAGUUCUUCAUAAUACAUAAAGUCAGUUUUACAUCUUUGACCACAAGCCCAGGUAUUUACUUUGUUGUUCCACGAAGCCGUGUAAUGAAACUCCAACAUACAUGUUGAAUUAUUUCAAAAUCUAUUCUAAAAAAACACACACACUUGAUCAUGAUUUUACAAUAAUCUGAACCAAAGUGCGAUUGGAAACAAUUCCAACAUUCACCAUAUGAUCAUUUCAUUUUAAACUAUGUUGUCCAAUGAGGAGGUUUGAUAGAAGUGCGCUUUUUCCUGACACCUGGUGCGUUUCAGUUCAUUUUACGAACUCCUAGAAAUAAAUGCUGGAGGCAAAGGUUUAUUUGCUUUCCGAGCCAAGGCGCCUUUUUUACUGACCGAAUACUUUCUGACUAAAUCUCGUAUAGCUCCUAUUGAAUCCGACGGAUUCUUCUGACAGACGGUAAUAUAGUUGUGGUACCUUAUAAUUAGAUAAUCUGUGAAAACUCUGCAGCAGGUCUGUAUCUGUCUGGCUGAGCGCUGCAGCACUGACACAAAGCAGAGAGACUGGGGCUCAGUGGCCUCUGCAGAUCCCAACACGUUUUCGCGCAGAGCUGUGGGGCUGCAAAAAGUUUGACCUCAGUUUGACUCCUGGGGCUGCCAGUUGCUCCAUGUUUCUUCAAACAGCAACAGACAGGCAGAGAUAAAGACAAAUGCAGAGGCGAAAACUCUGAUUCUCUGACCUAGAAUUGAUUAUUUCCAACCAAACUUAGGCGCGUAAAAAUUCAUAUUCAAAUGUGCAUCAUUUAUUUGAACAUCCCUCAAGCCAAAAAACACUAAAGGUGACUUUUAAAAUGUUUCGAUGUUACUCUGUAAAUAAUAUUAGUGAUAAGAAGUAAGUUUCUUGAAGAUUUUCUAAACUAACAUAAAAACCGCAACUUCUUUGUCUCCAAACAGCAAAAGUCACGCGCACAAAGGCCAUCCAAUAAUGCCUCUAUUUGAUUCUUCGGUCAAACCGUCUGUCUUUUUUUCCAUCCAGCCGUUUGAAACUAAUACUUGCUGAUUUUAUUGAAAUGACUCCAAGCAUUACCGUCAACGUAAAGAGGAUUAAACCGAAAUGACGGUAUUUGCCCCCCUGCUCUCUCACGGGAUGCCAAAACGCGCUGACCCUCACGAGAGAGCGACUCCGGGAGAGAAAGUGCAGCUCCGCGCUGCUUUUAUGGACGCUAAUUGAAGGAGCUUAAUUGCUUUAUAAUGCCAUUGUAGUUAUUUUACAGUGGUCAGGCGCUGAUGUGGGCUCCUUUCAUGUUAAUUUAGCUUGAGAUUUUUUUUCUCAAUGACCCUCUAAAAUGUAGUGUGCCUUGUGGUUGGAUGAGUCGUUUAAUCCUGUUUGCGUUUGACUAAACCCACAAAUUUUCGCAGGAAGUGGAUUUAAAAUAGCAGCUUUUUACUUUAUUCUAAAAGAAGUGUCUAGUGAGAGAAUAUAUCAGAGACAAUAAUAGGAUUUUGAAUAAUUUAAAAUGCAGUUAAAAAAUAAUUAAAAAAAAACAGAAAUUGAGUGGGAGAGCUUUACUCACCAGUAAAUAAUUAACAACCUCGACGAGCACAAGUCAGCCGACCUUAUUAUUUGAUUCGGAGUCUCUGUGCGUAUAGGUCCGUGCGUCCUGCGCUGCUUCCAGUCUCCUUUGCUGUCCUCACCCCGGAGCCUCCCUGGCCGGACUGCAGGGAGGCUCUGAGAAUCUUCUCAUGCCUCUGAAAUUUGUCCCUUCGGAUCUCAUCGCUUGGGUUUUACCACAGGAAUCACUACCGAAUGUGUGAAGCCGCAUUAUCAUGUUAUGACACCAUUUCUGGCACCGGGGGCAGAUGAUCGAUGACUGGACGCGCUGCACGGGGAAAAAAAACUUCAAGCAAGCUGUCACAGAGCAGCAACACCUUGUGAGCAUAAUAAAGAGAUAAUGUGGCUCUUUCGCACGGUCCCAGUUUACUUGCGAGGGGCUGAGAAUAAUAAAUAAAGAGUUUAGUGAACCUGAUCAACACGUGAAAACAGACAAAAACAAACAAACACCUAGUAGAAGUGAUGAGAAAAUUCAUGUUUGCGUCUUCACUCAAAUUUAAUCCCACAGAAAAAAAAAAAACUUUUCUUUUCUUUUACGAAACUUCUCAUGCAAGGGAACCUAUCAUAAAUAUUCCAUGCAAAUUUUAGGAAGUCCAACUUCUUAAUUAAAAAUGUUUCAUAGACUUAAUGAAAUAAGAUUUGCACCGCUUCAUAUCCAGGCGAGGACUCAAACCAGACAACGCAGUAAAUUCAGGCUAUUUUGUUAAUUUACAUCCUCGCAUAACUCACUGAUACCGGCACCUAACUCCGAAUGACUGGAGAAUCUAACUUUUCUGCUCCAUAAAUUCAAGCUCAUCAAUAUUUGACCAAACUUUUAUAGUUUCUGGGACUCGAGUGAACGGCUUAUUGUAGAGAGAAAAGUUGAAGUGUGAACUCUUCUGAGGGAAGAAAACUGACGAUAGUGCAGCUUGUUUGGGUUUGCUGAAGUCAGUGUGAGUGCAUUUAGAAACAAGUAAUUAAAGUCCUAAAGAUCGGAGCGUGUGCAUAAGAAAGGGGGAGAGAGGGGUGAGACAAAAAGAGAAAGGGGGUAGUUAUGAGAUAGUGUGUUUUAGUAAAUUUACAACCUUUAGAAGCUGACAGAAAACGCAAUGUGUGUGUUUUCGACUGGUGGACGAUGUUUUGUUUUGCGCCUCCCUGCAAAUGUGGCCUACAACCGAUCAAUCAACCCCGGAUCGAUCAUGCGGGGAGCCAAUAGGGGGCUCCCAUGCCUGAGCCUUUCUGUCAUUGGACAGCCCGGGCAGACUGGAGCGACCCAUUCAGCGCUGCUGUGGGGGAGAGGAGCGGACGACGUGGAAACUGUUAUUCAGACAGAAACAAACUGAAGCUUUGACAGGCUAGAGGAUGAACUGAAAACCAUCAACAUACAGACCAAAACUCUGGGUCGACAUCUUGACAUAUGAUGCUACUCUAACUCCUAAAAAAAGCCUUUUUAAGCAAGCCAAUGCGCAUCAAAAUCUGGAGGAAAAGUUGCAUUUAUAGACACUUAAAUCACAUUUCUUUAUUCCAUGCAUCCAUAGUAGUCUACGGAACUCAAUGUGCACCGUUGCAUGCAAGCAACAAAAGCAAACAGACGGUAUAGGACUGGAAAGUGAACUACCAGGCGCGCAAAACCUGCAGAACUGGAUGUUUGCCUUUCCAGACUGCACCGCGGAGAACUUGCAUAAGUGCUUCAAAGCCUCUCGGAAGUUGAACCCUCAUCCAAACUAUACGGAUGAGCUGUUUAAGCUUUAAAUUCAGGUUUUUUUGACGAUGCAGAAUCCAAACGCUUAAAGCAAUCCAGACAUUUCAGGCUCUUGGUAACAUACCUGAUAAUAUCUCUGUCAGAGUUGAAAGAUGCUUCAAUAAGCCGCUCAUAAACACUUUACAAACACACAACGUGAUGUCGAGUGCGUCAGUCCCAUAACUCUGAGGUUUUAGAGCUCACACACGAAUAAAGAUCACUUUCCUAGGAUGGGCCCGGCUGCAGAAGUCUUAGGUGGAUAUUCGCAGUGUAUCCCCGUGUUGAUCAUCUCGCGCCGUGGCUCGCUGGCUCUCGCAGGGUCCUCCCACCCCCCCUGCUCUCCGCACGACUUGCUGCAGCCCGGUGCGUUGUGUAAGACGCGACCUGUUAU
rnacentral:lncRNA from 1 species